rnacentral:tRNA from 1 species
GGCACUUUGGCCGAGUGGUUAAGGCGACGGCCUGCUAAGUUGUUGGGCUUUGCCCGCGAGGGUUAGAAUCCCUCAGGUGUCG